GCCCGUGUAGCUCAGUGGAUAGAGCGUUGACCUCCUAAGUCAAGGGUCGCGGGUUCGACCCCCGUCUCGGGUG
rnacentral:tRNA from 1 species